UGGGGAAUAUUGCACAAUGGGCGCAAGCCUGAUGCAGCCAUGCCGCGUGUGUGAAGAAGGCCUUCGGGUUGUAAAGCACUUUCAGCGAGGAGGAAGGUGGUGAACUUAAUACGUUCAUCAAUUGACGUUACUCGCAGAAGAAGCACCGGCUAACUCCGUGCCAGCAGCCGCGGUAAUACGGAGGGUGCAAGCGUUAAUCGGAAUUACUGGGCGUAAAGCGCACGCAGGCGGUUUGUUAAGUCAGAUGUGAAAUCCCCGGGCUCAACCUGGGAACUGCAUUUGAAACUGGCAAGCUAGAGUCUCGUAGAGGGGGGUAGAAUUCCAGGUGUAGCGGUGAAAUGCGUAGAGAUCUGGAGGAAUACCGGUGGCGAAGGCGGCCCCCUGGACGAAGACUGACGCUCAGGUGCGAAAAGCGUGGGGAGCAAAACAGGAUUAGAUACCCCUGGUAGGUCCACGCUGUAAAACGAUGUCGAUUUUGGAGGUUGUGCCCUUGAGGCGUGGCUUCCGGAGCUAACGCGUUAAAUCGACCGCC
rnacentral:rRNA from 1 species